AUUGAACGCUGGCGGCAGGCCUAACACAUGCAAGUCGAACGAGUGGCGGACGGGUGAGUAAUGUCUGGGAAACUGCCUGACGGAGGGGGAUAACUACUGGAAACGGUAGCUAAUACCGCAUACCAUCAGAUGUGCCCAGAUGGGAUUAGCUAGUUGGUGGGGUAACGGCUCACCAAGGCGACGAUCCCUAGCUGGUCUGAGAGGAUGACCAGCCACACGGGAACUGAGACACGGUCCAGACUCCUACGGGGGGUCGGAGGGGGAAAAGUGGCACAAUGUGCGAAAGCCGGAUGCAGCCAUGACACAAAUAUGAAGAAGGCCUUCGGUUUGUGAAGUACUUUCAGCGGGGUAGCGUUGCCCGCAGAAGAAGCACCGGCUAACUCCAUGCCAGCAGCCGCGGUAAUAC
rnacentral:rRNA from 1 species